rnacentral:rRNA from 1 species
AGAGUUUGAUCAUGGCUCAGGAUGAACGCUAGCUACAGGCUUAACACAUGCAAGUCGAGGGGCAGCAUGUUGGUCGCUUGCAACCAAUGAUGGCGACCGGCGCACGGGUGAGUAACGCGUAUCCAACCUACCCUUGUCCAUCGGAUAACCCGUCGAAAGGCGGCCUAACACGAUAUGCGGUUCUCAGCAGGCAUCUAACGAGAACGAAAUGUGAAGGAGAAGGAUGGGGAUGCGUCUGAUUAGCUUGUUGGCGGGGUAACGCCCACCAAGGCGACGAUCAGUAGGGGUUCUGAGAGGAAGGUCCCCCACAUUGGAACUGAGACACGGUCCAAACUCCUACGAGAGGCA